UACAGAGGGGGCAGGCGUUAUUCGGAAUUAUUGGGCGUAAAGGGCGCGUAGGCGGCUUGGCAAGUGGAAGGUGAAAUCCCUCGGCUUAACCGAGGAACUGCCCUCCAAACUGCUUUGCUUGAGGCCGGGAGAGGUGAGUGGAAUUCCCAGUGUAGCGGUGAAAUGCGUAGAUAUUGGGAGGAACACCAGUGGCGAAGGCGGCUCACUGGACCGGUUCUGACGCUGAUGCGCGAAAGCGUGGGGAGCAAACGGG
rnacentral:rRNA from 1 species